AUAGAGACAAGACACACAACAACCACCACCGAGUAGCAAUUGUAGACAAAAUAAAAAUAAAAUAUAACAUGCUGUCAAUAAUAAAAAUCAUACACAUAAUGGCACAGGACAAAAUAUUCAGUGUUAUGGAUUCGAUGUUGAAAAAAGUCUGAAUUAAAUGUUAUUGUUAAUAAGAAGGCAAACAAAGCCAAUCAAAUUUAACCAAGGGAAUGGGAAAGAGAAAUGUGAAGGGUGCUGCAGCGGCCUCUUGUGGAUCUAAAUGAACAUGCAUAUUUAAAAUAUUAAUCAGCAUCAGUAUUAAUGGGCAAGAUUAUGUAAUUGCUGUUACUAAUCUGCUGUAAGGACAGAAAAUCAGUCUUGUGUUAUUCUGUCAACCUUUAUUCCAGACACAAGAAAUGUCCUUAGUAAAAGUGGAGACAAAACAAACGCGUAUCAAAAGAAAAAUAAAAGGUUCUAAAAAACACAGCAUAUGACGUUGUUCAUUGAGUCACAAAUUGAUGACGAUGCCAGUGAUUCCACAGUCUUGAGGUAAAUCUCAUAAUCUUAUUCACCUGCCAGAAAAAAUAAGUUUCCAAUUCUAAGUAAAUCUGAGCACAACAGAUUUAUGUUGCUUUUUUUCUUUUUUUACUAAAACAGCUCACCCAGCAGAGUUUUCCCCUCGUCAUCUUUGACUCUCUGUCCAUCAGAAAGAACAGAUCACAGUUUCCUCAUGCAGUCAUUUCAGCUGAAACAAAUUGGUAACACCCGGGCAGCAGGAUGUCAAGGACUGUGAGCCGUUUCAGUCUUUCCAUAUGCUCUUUGGUCCCGGCGUGCGGCGCUUGAUGAAAACUGUGUUGUCGGCUAUCUGCAGACAACUCUCACCUCAGAUCUGCCAGCGCAAACAGCACCGUGACACACAAGACUGACAAUGUGUCACAACGGGACGCUUCAAAGGAGGCCACCGAAGAACGGAGGCCAUAGUGAAAAGAUGCUAACGCUGCAUGGAUGGAGAGAGACAGCAGAGAACAACAAAAACAAUGAAAGGGUGACAACAAUAUGGAAUGGAGACAAAGGUCUAAAUAGUGGACUAAAGGAACUCAAUUUUCCAAGCAAAACAUCAACCACAAUCACACUGGCCUCGUUUUCUUCUCAGCUAAAAACCCAACAUACUAAAUGUUUAAGUUUUUGUUUUCAGCUGCUACCAAAGUAUACUGAAUGCUAAAGCCCUGCCGCACUUUCCGGAUUGUUUUUAUUCAAAAUUUUGAAAAAUAGUUUCUAUUUUGCUCCUACUUAACCAUUAAGUUGUUUGUUGUGUUGAUCUACUGCGUAAAAUACUUCGAAGUUUGGGGUUGUAACCAGACAAAGUGGGAAGGUUUAAGGGAUGUAAAGAGCUUUUCAAGGCUUUGCAAGAGAAGAAACCUGAAGCAAAAAAAAAAAAAAAAAGACAUACACACUGCGAUUUCACAAAACAAUAAU